rnacentral:tRNA from 1 species
GACAGGGUGCUCUGUGGGGAAAGUUCUUGACUGAGAAGCAAGACACCUGGGUCCUAGUCCUAGUUCUGUCA